AUUGUAGUCUGCAACUCGACUACAUGAAGCUGGAAUCGCUAGUAAUCGCGGAUCAGCAUGCCGCGGUGAAUACGUUCCCGGGCCUUGUACACACCGCCCGUCACACCAUGGGAGCCGGUAAUACCCGAAGUCAGUAGUCCAACCACGUGAGGACGCUGCCGAAGGUAGGAUUGGCGACUGGGGUGAAGUCGUAACAAGGUAAC
rnacentral:rRNA from 1 species